UACGAGAGGCGCAAACGUUAUUCGGAUUUACUGGGCUUAAGGAGUUCGUAGGCGGCGCAGAAAGUAGGGUGUGAAAGCCCUCGGCUCAACCGAGGAAUUGCGCUCUAAACUACUGUGCUUGAGGGACCUAGAGGUGAGCGGAACUGAUGGUGGAGCGGUGAAAUGCGUUGAUAUCAUCAGGAACACCGGAGGCGAAGGCGGCUCACUGGGGGUCUUCUGACGCUGAGGAACGAGAGCCAGGGGAGCGAACGGG
rnacentral:rRNA from 1 species